rnacentral:rRNA from 1 species
AUACGGAGGAUCCGAGCGUUAUCCGGAUUUAUUGGGUUUAAAGGGAGCGUAGGCGGACGCUUAAGUCAGUUGUGAAAGUUUGCGGCUCAACCGUAAAAUUGCAGUUGAUACUGGGUGUCUUGAGUACAGUAGAGGCAGGCGGGAAUCGGGGUGUAGCGGUGCAAUGCUUAGAUAUCACGAAGAACUCCGAUUGCGAAGGCAGCCUGCUGGACUGUAACUGACGCUGAUGCUCGAAAGUGUGGGUAUCAAACAGGAUUAGAUACCCUGGUAGUCCACACAGUAAACGAUGAAUACUCGCUGUUUGCGAUAUACAGUAAGCGGCCAAGCGAAAGCGUUAAGUAUUCCACCUGGGGAGUACGCCGGCAACGGUGAAACUCAAAUGAAUUGGCGGGG